CACCCACACUUUCCCUGUGCCACCAAAUGCCCAUGGAGCUGUGCGUCUGAAAGGGGAGAAAUGCUGACCAAGGGGUGACCCAUGGGAGACACACACCAGAGUGAUGGAGACCUGCUAAUCAACCAGGGCAUGGGAUAAUCAAGAAAAUGAGAUACACGAAAGCCCCUUGAGGAUGAUGCUAAUGCCAGUGAGGAGGAUGCAGCUGUGAGAAAGACACCUUUCUCAGGGGAGAGUCCAACCCACUGACAGCUAAUGGUUCCAAAGCAAGGAUGUGAGCUGUGGGGUGAACAUAAGGUGAUGGACUCAUGACAUGGAUUUUAGAGGGACUGCAGCCCUGCAGCUACUCCAAGGGAGAGAGACAGGCUGAAUUGGGGAAGGGGGGGGGGCUUGGGGACCACAGGGAGUGGGAUGGGUCUAACAGGAGGCAGGAGGAAUGACAGGGAGCAGCAGGUCUGGGUAGGCAUGUGAUGAGAGAGCUCUGACCACACCUUUCUGUGUCUGCUCAGGAACAACAAGAAGGAAGACAGCUCUGGUUGCAUUGGCAAAGGUAGAAGUUGAAUAUCAAGGAGAGCAUCCCAACUGUGAGCGAGGGCUGGGAAAGCCAGCCAGUGUUAUCUCGGGAAAUGUUACAGAGUCACCUUGAAUACAGCAGAGCUGGUAUUCAAACCCUGGCUUCAGAGUCCAUGCUCCUAACCACGAUGGAAGGACCAUUGAGUCAACAAGGCCAUUCAGAGGAGGCUUCUUGGAAGAGAUGUUGAUCCCCAGAGUCCCUCCCUAUCAACCUCCUGCGUGAUCCUCUCUGUCUCAGAGUCAAUGUCCAGGGGAAUUGGACCUUCACACAGGAAAUCACUGAAGAUCAAGUCUGAUCCAAGUAUUGAGUUAGGAUUCUAGGUGGACAGUCUUAUCCCCAGUCCUAUAAAAAUGUCCCUCUCCUCUCCUCUAGCUUGCAUUGUUUCUGUUGGGAAAUCUACACUUAUCCGUGUCUUUGUUUCCCUGUAUGUAAUGUCUGUUACUCUUCUGGCCACAUUUAAGAUUUUCUCUUUAUCACUGUUUUUAGAGCUAUUUGAUUAUAAUGUGACCUGCCAUAGUUUUUGUUUUGUUUUCAUGUUUCUUGUGCUUGGGGUUUGUAUCUGUGAAUUUAUAGUUUUCAUCAGGUUUGGGAAAAUUUCAGCCAUUAUUUUCUCAAAUAUUUUUUCUGCCUUCUCUUUUUUCCCAGAGACUCCAAUUAGCCUGUUUAUGAGGCCACUUGAGUUUUCCAUAGCUCACUGAUGCUUUGUUCAUUUUUCCCCCAGUCUUUUUUUCUCACUGUGUUUUGUGUGUGUGUGUGUGUUUAAGAUUUUAUUUUUAGGUAAUCCUUACACCCAACAUGGGGCUCAAACUUACAACCCUGAGAUGAAGAGUCACAUGCUCUACCAACUGAGCCAGCCAGGCACCCCUGUUUUGCAUAGUUUCUGCUGCUGUGUAUUCAAGUUCAUUAAUCUUACCUUUUGCAGGUGGUAUUAAUCCCAUUGGAUGUAUUUUUCAUUCUAGUAUACAUCUCUAGAAAUUCAAUCUGGGUCUUUACAAAAUCUUUCAUGUUCAAUUUUCCUUCUAAUUUCUUAAGCAUAUGGAAUAGUUAUAAUAACUAUUUUAAUGUACUUGCCUAUGAAUUUUAUUAUCUGAA